AGCAGCCGCGGUAAUUCCAGCUCCAAUAGCGUAUAUUAAAGUUGUUGCAGUUAAAAAGCUCGUAGUUGAAUUUCGGGGUCAGUAGGUCGGUCGUGCCACUGGUAUGAACUGGUUUUACUGAUUCCUCCCUCUUGAAGAACUGUAAUGCCAUUAAUUUGGUGUUGCAGGGAAUCAGGACUGUUACUUUGAAAAAUUAGAGUGUUUAAAGCAGGCUUUAGCUUGAAUACAUUAGCAUGGAAUAAUGAAAUAGGACGUUUGAUCCUAUUUUGUUGGUUUCUAGGAUUGACGUAAUGAUUAAUAGGGAUAGUUGGGGGCAUUAGUAUUCAAUUGUCAGAGGUGAAAUUCUUGGAUUUAUUGAAGACUAACUACUGCGAAAGCAUUUGCCAAGGAUGUUUUCAUUAAUCAAGAACGAAAGUUAGGGGAUCGAAGACGAUCAGAUACCGUCGUAGUCUUAACCAUAAACUAUGCCGACUAGGGAUCGGAUGAUAUUAAUUUUUAAUGUACUCAUUCGGCGCCUUAC
rnacentral:rRNA from 1 species